GACGAACGCUGGCGGCGUGCUUAACACAUGCAAGUCGAACGGAAAGGCCCUGCUUUUGUGGGGUGCUCGAGUGGCGAACGGGUGAGUAACACGUGAGUAACCUGCCCUUGACUUUGGGAUAACUUCAGGAAACUGGGGCUAAUACCGGAUAGGAGCUCCUGCUGCAUGGUGGGGGUUGGAAAGUUUCGGCGGUUGGGGAUGGACUCGCGGCUUAUCAGCUUGUUGGUGGGGUAGUGGCUUACCAAGGCUUUGACGGGUAGCCGGCCUGAGGGGGUGACCGGCCACAUUGGGACUGAGAUACGGCCCAGACGCCUACGGGAGGCAGCAGUGGGGAAUAUUGCACAAUGGGCGGAAGCCUGAUGCAGCAACGCCGCGUGCGGGAUGACGGCCUUCGGGUUGUAAACCGCUUUCGCCUGUGACGAAGCGUGAGUGACGGUAAUGGGUAAAGAAGCACCGGCUAACUACGUG
rnacentral:rRNA from 1 species